rnacentral:rRNA from 1 species
GAUGAACGCUGGCGGCGUGCCUAAUACAUGCAAGUCGAGCGAACAGACGAGGAGCUUGCUCCUCAGACGUUAGCGGCGGACGGGUGAGUAACACGUGGAUAACCUACCUAUAAGACUGGGAUAACUUCGGGAAACCGGAGCUAAUACCGGAUAAUAUAUUGAACCGCAUGGUUCAAUAGUGAAAGACGGUUUUGCUGUCACUUAUAGAUGGAUCCGCGCCGCAUUAGCUAGUUGGUAAGGUAACGGCUUACCAAGGCAACGAUGCGUAGCCGACCUGAGAGGGUGAGCGGCCACACUGGAACUGAGACACGGUCCAGACUCCUACGGGAGGCAGCAGGAGGGAAUCUUCCGCAGUGGGCGAAAGCCUGACGGAGCAACGGCGCGUGAGUGAUGAAGGUCUUCGGAGCGUAAAACUCUGUUAUGAGGGAAGAACAAAUGUGUAAGUAACGAUGCACGUCUUGACGGUACCGAAUCAGAAAGCCACGGCUAACUACGU